CCUACGUGUGGCUGCAGUGGGGAAUAUUGGACAAUGGGCGAAAGCCUGAUCCAGCCAUGCCGCGUGUGUGAAGAAGGCCUUCGGGUUGUAAAGCACUUUCAGUGGGGAAGAAAGCCUUGGGGCUAAUACCCUCGAGGAAGGACAUCACCCACAGAAGAAGCACCGGCUAACUCCGUGCCAGCAGCCGCGGUAAUACGGAGGGUGCGAGCGUUAAUCGGAAUUACUGGGCGUAAAGCGCGCGUAGGCGGUCUGAUAAGCCGGUUGUGAAAGCCCCGGGCUCAACCUGGGAACGGCAUCCGGAACUGUCAGGCUAGAGUGCAGGAGAGGAAGGUAGAAUUCCCGGUGUAGCAGUGAAAUGCGUAGAGAUCGGGAGGAAUACCAGUGGCGAAGGCGGCCUUCUGGACUGACACUGACGCUGAGGUGCGAAAGCGUGGGUAGCAAACAGGAUUAGAUACCCCGGUAGUC
rnacentral:rRNA from 1 species